UAGGGAAUCUUCCACAAUGGACGCAAGUCUGAUGGAGCAACGCCGCGUGAGUGAAGAAGGUUUUCGGAUCGUAAAGCUCUGUUGUUGGUGAAGAAGGAUAGAGGUAGUAACUGGCCUUUACUUGACGGUAAUCAACCAGAAAGUCACGGCUAACUACGUGCCAG
rnacentral:rRNA from 1 species